rnacentral:rRNA from 1 species
CCUACGGGAGGCAGCAGUGGGGGAUAUUGCACAAUGGGGGGAACCCUGAUGCAGCGACGCCGCGUGGGUGAAGGAGUGCUUCGGCAUGUAAAGCCCUAUCGGCAGGGAAGAAGCAAGACGGUACCUGACUAAGAAGCCCCAGCUAACUACGUGCCAGCAGCCGCGGUAAUACGUAGGGGGCGAGCGUUAUCCGGAUUCACUGGGUGUAAAGGGAGCGUAGACGGCGAUGCAAGCCAGGGGUGAAAGCCCGGGGCCCAACCCCGGGACUGCCCUUGGAACUGUGCGGCUAGAGUGCGGGAGGGGCAGGCGGAAUUCCUGGUGUAGCGGUGAAAUGCGUAGAUAUCAGGAGGAACACCGGCGGCGAAGGCGGCCUGCUGGACUGCGACUGACGUUGAGGCUCGAAAGCGUGGGGAGCGAACAGGAUUAGAUACCCGAGUAGUC